UAGGAGCCUUGCUCAAAGACCUGCAGAUGUGCUGAGGCUGGGUUUGAAUCAGUGACCUUGUGAUUACAGAGACCAGAAGGGAGCUGAUCUCCUGGACUUUUAGGGUUUUACAACACCACUCAAUGGACCUUCCUUCAUCAUGUCCAAAAGAACAGGAUGAAAAGACUGGGCUUAGACUGAAUUCAAAUAUACCCGCCAAAGAAUCAGCUGCAGACCUUCUUACCGGAUGAUGAGGUUGACCAUUCCCAGCACGCUGGCCAGCAGAACCCCCUUCAGCAGCCACGACUCAGAGUUUAGGUCAGUGAUAGCACCCACGGCCC